UUGAGAGUGGGUAUACUGUGGAGACGGUGUUUGAUGGAAACAAGCUUGGGAUUGAGCCUUAUUCGGUUGAGGUGUUGCCCAAUGAAGAACUUUUGCUUCUGGACUUUGCUAAUAGUAAUAUCUAUAGAAUAUCGGCCUCUCUUUCUCUUUACACCAGACCAAAGCUAGUUGCAGGAUCACCUGAAGGUUAUUCUGGACAUGUAGAUGGGAAACCCAGAGAGGCAAGGAUGAACCAGCCAAAGGGGCUUACAGUUGAUGACAGAGGAAACAUUUAUAUUGCAGACAUUAUGAAUAUGGCUAUUAGGAAGAUAAGUGUUGCUGGUAAAUACUUUAUAUUUAUAUUGUUCAAGCAUUUACUCUGCAAUAUUAAAAUCUCAUUGCCAAAUUUUCCCUUUGUCUCUCUCUCUUUUUUUUUUUCUUUCUUUUUAACUCUCAGGAAACAUUUAGGAUUUUAUCUGAUAUGAAAAUAUUUUUUUGUUUUCUUAUAAUCAUUAGAGAAU